rnacentral:rRNA from 1 species
CCCUUAGAUGUCCGGGGCUGCACGCGCGCUACACUGAAGGAAUCAGCGUGCUAAAACCAUUGUCGAAAGGCAUUGGUAAACCCAUUAAAAUCCUACGUGAUUGGGAUCGGGAAUUGCAAUUAUUUCCCUUGAACGAGGAAUUCCCAGUAAGUGUGGGUCAUAAGCUCGCGUUGAUUACGUCCCUGCCCUUUGUACACACCGCCCGUCGCCGCCCGGGACUGAGCCGUUUCGAGAAAAGCGGGGACUGCUGCUGUCGGGGCUUUCGGGCCUUGGCUUCGGUGGAAACCGCUUUAAUCGCAGUGGCUUGAACCGGGCAAAAGUCGUANCA